rnacentral:rRNA from 1 species
GUACACUCCUGCGGGAGGCAGCAGUGGGGAAUUUUGGACAAUGGGCGAAAGCCUGAUCCAGCAAUGCCGCGUGAGUGAAGAAGGCCUUCGGGUUGUAAAGCUCUUUUGUCAGGGAAGAAACGGUGAGAGCUAAUAUCUUUUGCUAAUGACGGUACCUGAAGAAUAAGCACCGGCUAACUACGUGCCAGCAGCCGCGGUAAUACGUAGGGUGCAAGCGUUAAUCGGAAUUACUGGGCGUAAAGCGUGCGCAGGCGGUUUUGUAAGUCUGAUGUGAAAUCCCCGGGCUCAACCUGGGAAUUGCAUUGGGGACUGCAAGGCUAGAAUCUGGCAGAGGGGGGUAGAAUUCCACGUGUAGCAGUGAAAUGCGUAGAUAUGUGGAGGAACACCGAUGGCGAAGGCAGCCCCCUGGGUCAAGAUUGACGCUCAUGCACGAAAGCGUGGGGAGCAAACAGGAUUAGAAACCCUAGUAGUCCCA